CACACGACUCUCGGCAACGGAUAUCUAGGCUCUUGCAUCGAUGAAGAACGUAGCAAAAUGCGAUACCUGGUGUGAAUUGCAGAAUCCCGUGAACCAUCGAGUUUUUGAACGCAAGUUGCGCCCGAGGCCUUCUGGCCGAGGGCACGUCUGCCUGGGCGUCACGC
rnacentral:rRNA from 1 species